GACGAACGCUGGCGGCGUGCUUAACACAUGCAAGUCGAACGGUGAAGCGCCUUCCUUUUUGGUGGGUGUGGAUGAGUGGCGAACGGGUGAGUAACACGUGAGUAACCUGCCCCCUUCUUCUGGAUAACCGCAUGAAAGUGUGGCUAAUACGGGAUAUUCUGGUUCUUUCGCUUGAUGGUUCUGGGAAAGUUUUUGUUUCGGUGGGGGUUGGGCUCGCGGCCUAUCAGCUUGUUGGUGGGGUGAUGGCCUACCAAGGCGGUGACGGGUAGCCGGCCUGAGAGGGUGGACGGUCACACUGGGACUGAGACACGGCCCAGACUCCUACGGGAGGCAGCAGUGGGGAAUAGUGCACAAUGGGCGCAAGCCUGAUGCAGCGACGCCGCGUGAGGGAUGGAGGCCUUCGGGUUGUGAACCUCUUUCGCCAGUGAAGCAGGCCUGCCUCGUUUGUGGGUGGGUUGACGGUAGCUGGAUAAGAAGCGCCGGCUAACUACGUG
rnacentral:rRNA from 1 species